rfam:Oryza rufipogon genomic scaffold, chr09
AAUAAAUACAGUCAUGAGUUUCCGCGUCUAACUUUGAUAAUUAGCAUUUUUGUUGUUAUAGGAUGAAAAAACAUGAAUAGUACUUCACUUGUGACUUAUGUUUUUAAUUGUUUUAAAAAAAGUUUUAAAUAAGACGAAUGGUCAAAGUUGGACGCGGAAAACCAUGACUGUAUUUAUU